rnacentral:rRNA from 1 species
AACGAACGCUGGCGGCAUGCCUAACACAUGCAAGUCGAACGAGACCUUCGGGUCUAGUGGCGCACGGGUGCGUAACGCGUGGGAACCUGCCCUUAGGUUCGGAAUAACUCCCCGAAAGGGGUGCUAAUACCGGAUAAUGUCUUCGGACCAAAGAUUUAUCGCCUUUGGAUGGGCCCGCGUUGGAUUAGCUAGUUGGUAGGGUAAAAGCCUACCAAGGCGACGAUCCAUAGCUGGUCUGAGAGGAUGGUCAGCCACACUGGGACUGAGACACGGCCCAGACUCCUACGGGAGGCAGCAGUGGGUAAUAUUGGACAAUGGGCGAAAGCCUGAUCCAGCAAUGCCGCGUGAGUGAUGAAGGCCGUAGGGUUGUAAAGCUCUUUUACCCGGGAUGAUAAUGACAGUACCGGGAGAAUAAGCUCCGGCUAACUCCGUG